rnacentral:lncRNA from 1 species
GGGAAUAUGAGUCUAGUUUCAGGGAAAAUUUACGGAACUGGAUUCCGAGUUUCUGAACUCAAUAUAUGAUUUUUAAAGCGACUAUUACGCAGAUUGGCAGUGUCUGGAAAAUUUUUAAAGUUUGUUAACACCUCGUGUUCGACUCCGGUGACGGUCUCGGGUUCGGGGUGUUACGGGAAACAAGUGAUAAGUGAUAAGUGAUAGCUUCGGCUACACUUAUCUAAUCAAGGAAAAGCGAAAGUGAUAAGUGAUAGCUUCG